GAUGAACGCUGGCGGCGUGCCUAAUACAUGCAAGUCGAGCGAACGGACGAUAAGCUUUCUUCUCUGAUGUUAGCGGCGGACGGGCGAGUAACACGUGGAUAACCAACCUAUAAGACUUGGAUAACUUCGGGAAACCGGAGCUAAUACCGGCUAAUAUUUUGAACCGCAUGGUUCAAAAGUGAAAGACGGUCUUGCUGUCACUUAUAGAUGGUUCCGCGCUGCAUUAGCUAGUUGGUAAGGUAACGGCUUACCAAGGCAACGAUGCGUAGCCGACCUGAGAGGAUGAUCGGCCACACUGGAACUGAGACACGGUCCAGACUCCUACGGGAGGCAGCAGUAGGGAAUCUUGCGCAAUGGGCGAAAGCCUGACGGAGCAACGCCGCGUGAGUGAUGAAGGUCUUCGGAUCGUAAAACUCUGUUAUUAGGGAAGAACAGAUGUGUAAGUAACUGUGCACAUCUUGACGGUACCUAAUCAGAAAGCAACGGCUAACUACGUG
rnacentral:rRNA from 1 species